CCUACGGGAUGCAGCAGUGAGGAAUAUUGGUCAAUGGACGCAAGUCUGAACCAGCCAUGCCGCGUGCAGGAAGACGGCUCUAUGAGUUGUAAACUGCUUUUGUACGAGGGUAAACGCAGAUACGCGUAUCUGUCUGAGAGUAUCUUACGAAUAAGGAUCGGCUAACUCCGUGCCAGCAGCCGCGGUAAUACGGAGGAUUCAAGCGUUAUCCGGAUUUAUUGGGUUUAAAGGGUGCGUAGGCGGUCGGAUAAGUUAGAGGUGAAAGCCCGAGGCUCAACUUCGGAAUUGCCUCUGAUACUGUUAGGCUAGAGAGUAGUUGCGGUAGGCGGAAUGUAUGGUGUAGCGGUGAAAUGCUUAGAGAUCAUACAGAACACCGAUUGCGAAGGCAGCUUACCAAGCUACGUCUGACGUUGAGGCACGAAAGCGUGGGGAGCAAACAGGAUUAGAUACCCCAGUAGUC
rnacentral:rRNA from 1 species